GCUGUCUGGAACAGGAAGUAAAAUGGGCCGAGAUGGAGCGAGCCCCCAGUGUGCUUCCAAGGCCACUCCCAUCUCCCUGAAACACCCUGCUACGUACUGAUCCAAUGCCCUGCGCUGUGUAUGAGAGCACCUUCUCUUCUGAAACCCCUAUACAAGGGAGGGGCCCCUGCGGAGACCGUGCCCUGCCAUCCAGUCCUCAAGGGGAUUCUAAAAAACUAGUGACAAAGUAGGGAAGCAGCUGAGCUGGAAAGGAGUUCUGAGGACGAUGGAACCUUGGGUAACGAGGAAGAAGGCUGCCCACCCGCCCUUUUCUGGCAGCCACCCUCCCUCACACUGUCCGUUCCUUGAUGACACAGCUGAUGUGAUUAAGAUCGUCCCCAAAUCGCUUCA